GGGGAAUUUUGGACAAUGGGCGAAAGCCUGAUCCAGCCAUGCCGCGUGUAUGAAGAAGGCCUUCGGGUUGUAAAGUACUUUUGUUAGGGAAGGAAAGCUUGUUGCUAAUAUCAGCAAGUCAUGACGGUACCUAAAGAAUAAGCACCGGCUAACUACGUGCCAGCAGCCGCGGUAAUACGUAGGGUGCAAGCGUUAAUCGGAAUUACUGGGCGUAAAGCGAGCGCAGGCGGUUAUUUAAGUCAGGUGUGAAAGCCCCGAGCUCAACUUGGGACGUGCAUUUGAAACUGGGUAACUAGAGUGUGUCAGAGGGGGGUAGAAUUCCACGUGUAGCAGUGAAAUGCGUAGAGAUGUGGAGGAAUACCGAUGGCGAAGGCAGCCCCCUGGGAUAACACUGACGCUCAUGCUCGAAAGCGUGGGUAGCAAAC
rnacentral:rRNA from 1 species